UCACUCCAAUCAGCUGUAAUCACCACCCUCCAUCGUCUGUUUUUAUUAGCCCUGUGGGACCUUUUUUUAUAUGUUUUGUUAUAUGUGGGACCCUUGUGCUGGCUGGGAGUGGCAUGUUGACUUUUUUUAUGUACCCAUCUUGAUGGCUGUGGCCAAGGUGGUGGCGGUUUCACUGCUUGGCGCUGUCACCUCUGCCCACCCCACCCCACCCCUCCUCACCUGGGCAGGGUCCUGGUAUUUAACAGGUGCCCGACACCGCGGGAGAGCCGCGCCAAGGACGGUGAUCGGGAGUGCUGCCAGCGCCGCCAGGAGCUUUUGGGCAGGUUUGCUCGGAGACCCCUGAGGAUGUGUGACCCCAACCAAGGCAUGCCACGACCACACCUUGCAGUGUGCCCUCCUGCCCCUCCGGGAUAUCCUGCUCCCUGCCCUGGUGGCCCUGCAGUCUGCCCCCCGUGCCCGCCUCCAGGUGGCCACGGGCAUCACCCCCA